rnacentral:rRNA from 1 species
UGAGGAACAUGACCUUCGGCGGGGGAUAGCCGGCCCAACGGCCGGGUAAUACCGCGUACGACCACAUGGGGACAUCCCUGAGUGGUGAAAGCAGCAAUGCGCCGAUGGAGUGCCUCGCGGCCUAUCAGCUAGUUGGUGAGGUAACGGCUCACCAAGGCAACGAUGCGUAGCCGACCUGAGAGGGUGAUCGGCCACAUUGGAACUGAGACACGGUCCAGACUNUACGGGAGG